rnacentral:rRNA from 2 species
AGGAUUCCCCUAGUAACUGCGAGUGAAGCGGGAAAAGCUCAAAUUUAAAAUCUGGCGGCUUUGGUCGUCCGAGUUGUAUUCUAGAGAAGCGUUUUCCGCGCUGGACCGUGUACAAGUCUCUUGGAACAGAGCGUCAUAGAGGGUGAGAAUCCCGUCUUUGACACGGACUACCAGUGCUUUGUGAUGCGCUCUCAAAGAGUCGAGUUGUUUGGGAAUGCAGCUCAAAAUGGGUGGUAAAUUCCAUCUAAAGCUAAAUAUUGGCGAGAGACCGAUAGCGAACAAGUACCGUGAGGGAAAGAUGAAAAGCACUUUGGAAAGAGAGUUAAACAGUACGUGAAAUUGCUGAAAGGGAAACGCUUGAAGUCAGUCGCGUUGGUUAGAACUCAACCAGGCUUGCUUGGUGCAUUUUCUAUUCAACGGGCCAGCAUCAGUUUUGACUGUAGGAAAAAGAUCAGAGAAAUGUGGCACCUUCGGGUGUGUUAUAGUCUUUGGUUGCAUACUAUGGUUGGGACUGAGGAUCUCAGCACGCAUCUGUUGUGCUUAGGAUGCUGGCGUAAUGGCUUUAAACGACCCGUCUUGAAACACGGACCAAGGAGUCUAACAAACCUGCGAGUGUUUGGGUGGUAAACCCGAGCGCGUAAUGAAAGUGAAAGUUGGGAUCCCUGUCGCGGGGAGCACCGACGCCCGGACCAGACCUUCUGUGACGGAUCUGCGGUAGAGCAUGUUUGUUGGGACCCGAAAGAUGGUGAACUAUGCCUGAAUAGGGUGAAGCCAGAGGAAACUCUGGUGGAGGCUCGUAGCGAUUCUGACGUGCAAAUCGAUCGUCAAAUUUGGGUAUAGGGGCGAAAGACUAAUCG